rnacentral:rRNA from 1 species
AACGAACGCUGGCGGCAUGCCUAACACAUGCCAGUCGAACGAGACCUUCGGGUCUAGUGGCGCACGGGUGCGUAACGCGUGGGAACCUGCCCUUAGGUUCGGAAUAACUCCCCGAAAGGGGUGCUAAUACCGGAUAAUGUCUUCGGACCAAAGAUUUAUCGCCUUUGGAUGGGCCCGCGUUGGAUUAGCUAGUUGGUAGGGUAAAAGCCUACCAAGGCGACGAUCCAUAGCUGGUCUGAGAGUAUGAUCAGCCACACUGGGACUGAGACACGGCCCAGACUCCUACGGGAGGCAGCAGUGGGGAAUAUUGGACAAUGGGCGAAAGCCUGAUCCAGCAAUGCCGCGUGAGUGAUGAAGGCCUUAGGGUUGUAAAGCUCUUUUACCCGGGAUGAUAAUGACAGUACCGGGAGAAUAAGCGCCGGCUAACUCCGUG